GACGAACGCUGGCGGCGUGCUUAACACAUGCAAGUCGAACGGAAAGGCCCUGCUUUUGUGGGGUGCUCGAGUGGCGAACGGGUGAGUAACACGUGAGUAACCUGCCCUUGACUUUGGGAUAACUUCAGGAAACUGGGGCUAAUAUCGGAUAGGAGCUCCUGUUGCAUGGUGGGGGUUGGAACGUUUCGGCGGUUGGGGAUGGACUCGCGGCUUAUCAGCUUGCUGGUGGGGUAGUGGCUUACCAAGGCUUUGACGGGUAGCCGGCCUGAGAGGGUGACCGGCCACAUUGGGACUGAGAUACGGCGCAGACUCCUACGGGAGGCAGCAGUGGGGAAUAUUGCACAAUGGGCGGAAGCCUGAUGCAGCAACGCCGCGUGCGGGAUGACGGCCUUCGGGUUGUAAACCGCUUUCGCCUGUGACGAAGCGUGAGUGACGGUAAUGGGUAAAGAAGCACCGGCUAACUACGUG
rnacentral:rRNA from 1 species